UCCCUGUCCUUCCUGCUUCUUCCGUCUCCAUAGAGCUGCAGGACUUCAUACUGCAAUGAAAAAUGAGCCCACAGUGAGGAAAAAUGUGACAAGAGCAAAAACAAACUGCUCGUGGUUCAGAGGGUUCUAAAGCACACAAUAGAUGAAAUGGUUGUGGAAGAAUCUAGAGCAUGUAAGAUAACCGAACUUUAUUUUACUGAGGUGCAAAGUGGAAACUAAGAGUUCUGUUUGUUUUCUUUUAGGAGACCAGCUGGAGAACUGCCCCAAGGAAGAGCAUGAAAUUUCUCUUUUGGAUUGGUGGUUCUAAAGAAGAGCUCCUAAGACGCCCAGGGCGAAUUCGUGCAUCAUAGCAGCUCAGUUCAUGUCGGGAGAUCUGACCGAAAUCUCAGGGAGCCGGACAAGGUUUCUGCAGAUUGAGGCUCCAUCUACAGUCUUGAUGAGCAAAUAUGAAAGAAACAAGUAAGUAUUUGAAAAUAAA